UCUUUGUUUAUUGAUUAUGGUAAAGCUGUUUUGAUCCAAAACAGUUUGCAAGGGAAUGCCGUGAGAAUCGGCAACAGUACCCGCUGCUGUAAUCCCGUUAUGCUUUGCAUAAAAGCUUUUAACACUACAAGCCACUUUCGGAAAUGUCCGUAGGGAAGGCGUUAAAAGCCGGGAAAGUCAGAAGACCUGCUGUAAUCAGACCCAUUCG
rfam:Alkalitalea saponilacus strain DSM 24412 genome assembly, contig: LV88DRAFT_scaffold00010.10